rnacentral:piRNA from 1 species
UGCACUCACGUUGGACACAAGUCUCUAAGUGU